GGUGAACGCUGGCGGCAGGCCUAACACAUGCAAGUCGAACGGCAGCACAGUAAGAGCUUGCUCUUACGGGUGGCGAGUGGCGGACGGGUGAGGAAUACAUCGGAAUCUACUUUUUCGUGGGGGAUAACGUAGGGAAACUUACGCUAAUACCGCAUACGACCUACGGGUGAAAGCAGGGGAUCUUCGGACCUUGCGCGAUUGAAUGAGCCGAUGUCGGAUUAGCUAGUUGGCGGGGUAAAGGCCCACCAAGGCGACGAUCCGUAGCUGGUCUGAGAGGAUGAUCAGCCACACUGGAACUGAGACACGGUCCAGACUCCUACGGGAGGCAGCAGUGGGGAAUAUUGGACAAUGGGCGCAAGCCUGAUCCAGCCAUACCGCGUGGGUGAAGAAGGCCUUCGGGUUGUAAAGCCCUUUUGUUGGGAAAGAAAAGCAGCAGGUUAAUACCCCGCUGUUCUGACGGUACCCAAAGAAUAAGCACCGGCUAACUUCGUG
rnacentral:rRNA from 1 species